rnacentral:rRNA from 1 species
UACGAAGGGGACUAGCGUUGUUCGGAAUCACUGGGCGUAAAGCGCACGUAGGCGGAUUCGUAAGUCAGGGGUGAAAUCCCGGGGCUCAACCUCGGAACUGCCUUUGAUACUGCGGGUCUUGAGUCCGAUAGAGGUGGGUGGAAUUCCUAGUGUAGAGGUGAAAUUCGUAGAUAUUAGGAAGAACACCAGUGGCGAAGGCGGCUCACUGGUCCGGUACUGACGCUGAGGUGCGAAAGCGUGGGGAGCAAACAGG